UAAGAGAGCGGGGAAAGCCCAAGCGCUGCGGCGGAGAGGGUUGCGAGCGCUGGACUUUGUUGGACAUAAGCCCGACUCGGUGCAGGAGUUGUUUUGGCCCGGCUCAUUCGCGGGGUGAACGGGGAUCUGCGCCCAGUGUUCGUGCCCCUCCAGGUCUGUGCAUAUAUCAUGGUGAUUGGCAGUCAAAACUUGCAUUAACUGAAAGCUACAGACAAAAGUUCUUGGUGAUAAAAUGAUCAGUGCAGCAUGAAAUGAAUGAGAAAUUGUAAUGGAAUUGGAAGCAAGCAAAUGUCCCUAUCAUCCAAAAGGGAAGAACAUCCAGGAAUGAUUCGUCACUAAAGAUCUUUUCUUUUUGAUCCAGGGGAGGCUGUUUCUUAAAAGAGUUGCUAUUCAUGAAUGCCCAUCUUGUGAAGAAAACUCUUCCUUUAUUUCACUAAAUGGAAAUGAAGAAAUGCUGCUUUGAUUCUUUUACAGCUCCUCAUCAUAAAAAAUUACCACAUGAAGCUGAAUUAUACAGAUGGAAAGUACAACCCUUGCAAAAAAGCAACUAAAAUGAAUAUAUAGACCUUCACGUAAACCAGGCCUUUGCUUAUGGUUUUUGCCCUCUAUAAGUGAUUGUGCACAUAAUACAAGCAAUUGUCAAUUCUUGUUGACACUUUGAUUCAUUCAGUAUAUUUUAGUAAAAUAAUUCACCGCAAAAAUCUUUGGAGAGCCUAACAAAUCGGUAUGUUCUUAAAAAUACUGUCUCAGAAAUCUUGAUGAAAAAUUGUGGCAGAACGACCAGAGUGUACAUGUGUUGUAAAAGAAAAAAAGAGAAAUAGUUUGAAAGAUUUUUCCAUUGAAAAAAAUUCCUUCCUAAAAGAGCCAGUUUAUAAUUAGAUUUUAAUUGAAGAUUUAAGUAAAUCUUGGUACAAUUCUGUAAAGUUGCACCAGUCAACUUAUGUACAAUUGAAUGUACUUAAAAGCUGGAAAGUGGGGAUAUUAAUAAUAUGUCUCAGAAAAUGGAGGUUGGAGACUUAAAAGUAUAGAAAGUAAGCCUUGGGGCAGUAGAAUUUACUUGGUAUCCCAAUUCUUUCCUAAGGAAUUCAACAAUAAAAGGUACAAUGACUUAACUAUCCAGGCUUUUACCUGAAAGGAACAAUAAUGCCAGUAUAACCUUGUAUGUAAAACUUUCCACUGCUUACAUGAACAAAAGUUGGACAUGCUCAGGAAGGGCUUCUUCAUUAUUUCUCAAUGCGUUACCCAGAGUUAAGGUGGAAAUUGUGUUCUAAACUUGUUUGCGAACAUUCUUUGCAUUGUGUUUGUUUCUACGUACGGGCUGUUUCAAGCUGGGAUAAAAGUUACUUUUUGCCACAACUGGGUGCAAAGGCCUAUGUCUUCUUUCCUUACUGAGUCAUGGAGCACCUUAUUUCAGUUUUAUUAAAAUAUUAAUUUAGGCUUGCUAAUAGUUUAACAAUAUCCUCAAUCUUAGCUAAAGGAAGUGCAUUUGAUAAUUGUUAGUCAUAGCUAAGAAUGUUGAAUGCUUUUGGCUGAUUGAUGGCACAUGUUAUUUUCAGAGGUAAAGUACUGGCUGGUAGAAGAACAUUUGGGAUGCUUGUAUGUUUUAAAUAGUUUUAAGAAGGGGAAUAUACCUAGCAAAGCAUUUUGUAUUUGGUUGCCAUCAUGUUAUGUUUAGCUUAUAUAUGAUAAAAGAGUAAACAUUUUUUUUGCUGUUUUGAAUAAAAUAGAGGUAGUCCUCAUUUAGUGACCACAAUUGGAACUGGCAUCUUGGUUGUUAAGCAAAGCAGUCACUAAGUGAAACUGAUCUGUCGUGAUCUUACUUCAGCUUUCCUUUGCUUUACAGACCUCUGAAUGUCAUAAAUGUGAGGAUUGGUUGUAAAGUUACUUUUUCAUCACCAUUGUAACUGUGGUACGGUUAAUAAGAACUAAAUAAGGACUUACAUGUACAUUUUUUUUUUAAAAAAAGUGUUUCAGUAGAACACUUUCAGAGGGCUUAAAAUCUAUAGCUACAGGACAAAAAAAUGAAAUAUUUACAGUAAUAGUCAAAAAAAUGUGAAACUUAGAAGUUUAUUCAUACAAAAUUGAAAUCUUAAAAUAAUUUGGUUUAUCAGGGUUUUAGAAGUAAACCCUAUCUUAAUGAAACUGUUCUCUGCAAUUCUUGUUAAAAAUUAGAAAACAGCAUGAGUUUUAUCAGUUUUUGGGAUGUUUUAGCUAUUUAUACCUCAAGAGAUAUGUUGUGGGGAAAAUAAUACAGUAGAAUGGGACAGAGUGGGAAUGUAAUUUAGUUUCCCCAAAUCAUUAGAAAACGUUCAUAGUAUUUAAGAAGAAAAUCAAUUCUUUAUCCCCUUUCUCACUAAAUGCCACUGUAAUAAUGUAUCUCUUUCUAUUGAAUACGGCUGCAUUAAGAGUAAACCUAGCAUUUGAGAAAAAAACAACACUGCUCUCUAUAUGCCCGGGAAACCAUUUUACAGUGUAGCUAUCCAUGAGCAUCUCCUUAACAGUACUAGUCACAGGCAGUAUUGCCUUUAUUUUUUAGUUUUACAUACUCAUCUGUUGUCCACCUUGGCAGGAAAUCUUUUACAUUUGAAAGAUGAAGCAAAUAUGGGGCAUGUGCAAUAGUAUAAUAUAUACAUAUAAAUAUAUUUUAAUACUUGUGGACAAAAUGUUACAAGUUGUUUGAGAACAACAAAAUCACCAAUGUCUUCCAUUUUAAAAUGUGUAUAGUUCCAUAAGCAUUAGUGCUUUGUAGCAAAACUGUAGUGCCAUGUUAGGAUCAGUGCAUGAGCCUAGUAGUACUUUUUUUACAAUUUCAGAGUGACAAAUUAAUGAAGCUGAUGAUGUAACUUAUAGGCAACUGACAUGGUUAUGGUCAUGGUCAUGGUCUAAAGAUGCAGUGUCCUUUCUAGGCAAUGGUAGAAGAAACUGAUGCAUAGAAUCAGUGAGAUGUGAAUUUCAUAGUGAUUGCAUGAAAAUAAUCUUUAAUCAGCCAGGUAUAUUUUGAGUGCACUUAAACUGCAUGUAAAACCCUAAUAGAAGUAAUAAUCCUUAACAAAACCCCUUGUGAAUCAUGGAAUAUUUUGCUAUAAUGAGAAAAAUAACUGAUAGUGUAACUUCUUAAAUUUAGGGACUAGAAUAAGCAUAUGACUAGUCUUACCCAUGAAACGUUUUGGUAUGUUUUGAAUCAGAGUUGUUGGUUGUUUUUAUGCUUGCAGUAAUACAGGAAUGGGUAACCUUUUACAAUGUAACUGUUGCUUGUAGAAACUGAAUGAUAGAUUGGGGCUUGCACAUAUCUGCCAAUGGGGCAGAGUGGCAUCUUGCAAAAUUGACUAAACUAGAAAUGCUGUCACUGUACAGCUAAUUCUGAACGCACCUAAGUUAUUAGCAUUGUUCAUUAUUAAAAUCUCAAUUUUUUGCUUACUUUGCUAAUUUAGGUAAAACAUUUACUGGAGUUUUCUUACUAAUUAUUUGGUCACAUUUAUUUCUUGCAUUCAAAAGUCUAUCUUUAUAUUACACUAAUUAAUCUUAGUAGGUCCCCCCCCCUUUUCUGAAGUUACUGCUCCAGUUAGGUAACUCAUCUACUUAAAACUUUAUUUUUGGUUCAAACAAGUCAGGUUUAAGUUAUGAAUCUAGUUCUUUGUAGAUGAUUAUGGUUUAAUUGCUACUUUUAGCUUAAAGGGGAUACUGCAUCUUUUUUUAAAAAAAAAAAAUCUCUAUAAAUGGCCACCUUGACGAGAGAAAAGAUUUCUCUGGCUUUGUAUUUCUUUAUUGGCAAAACAUAAUGAUAAUUUAACUAUUAAGCCAGAGAACUACACAAUUACUUUUAAAGAUCUCUAUUUUCUCGUGAAAGUGGCAAAGUGUGUCGUUUGGAGACGAAUUGUGAAGGCCUGAGCUUUAUCAGGGUUCUCUUGUGAAGAGCAGUACAAGUGAAUGAAAUGGGGCUGAUGAUUGGGAGAAUUGAUGGAAAAAUACCUCUGAAACUGGAAUGCAAAAUAGCACAGUAUGUAGGGGGAAAAAAAUCCCUGAUGCAAAUAAAGCCAUAAGAUGACAAUAAAUAGAACUUUAGUAGCAAUAACUAUUUGCAUGUAAUAGGACUUAACUUGCAUUGGCAAGAAUUGUAUAGUAGAAUAAAUGGUAUUAACCAAAUAGGUUUGCUGUGCUCUAUGUUGCAGGAAGUUGAAUUUCUCAAAAGUUGGUAAAUUCCUUUCUACCACAAAACUAUGUGUUUGAACGCUACAGGCAAAGCUUGGCAAAAAUUCCAGAAUAAUUUUAUUUUUCAAAAUUGAUAUAAUUAGGAAAGAGGUUUAUUGUGUAUGAAACUGACGAGAACUUAUACAGAAUGUAGAUAAUUGAUCAUCAUUUCUGAAGUAACAAAGAAUCCUUGAGGCUGGGUUCUACCCAGAGAUAUAAUUUAGGAGUUUGGAGAACAAGUUUCAGUUCACUCUGCCUGGCAAAUUCUUAGCCUCGUCAUUCUAGAGAGUGCAGUUUAUACCUCUUUAAAAUUCAGUUGCACUAACUUUGUAUGCACGUGCAUACUGAAGACCAAGUAAACUGUAAAUCUAAUGCAGAAAUCUGCCUUAAGCAGGAUUUGAUUGACCAGAUUCAUCUGCAAGGCUGGGACAUAUAUUUAAAGAAAGUGGCUUUACAUUUAUUUUUGUUCUACAUUCUAUGGUAUGGUUUAUCUACACGAUAGUUUUAAAAUAAAAUACAUAUACACAAAUGCAUACAUGUUUAUACACAUUCUAUAGCACAGUUCACCAACCUUUCCAGCUUUGUGAACCAGGAAGAGGAAAUGGUUCCGUGCGAGCAGCCAGCAACUGCAUGCGCAGCUCCAUUUGCACGAGUGGCAUGCGCAUGCACCUCCCGCUCACACAAAUGGAGCGUGUGUGCGCGUGCACUUGCCUGGUACUUGUGCAAGUAGGCAUGUGUGUGCGCCUGCCCGUUUCUGCAGUCCAGUUGCAAACAACUCAUACGCCCACAGCCGUGGCCCAGAGGUUGGGGACCCCUGUUCUAUAGAACUUUCUGCUCUGUACGUAUUUAUACUGAUCAAUGAAAAUUUAGCACAAGUUUCUAAAAUGUUCAGAAGAUUAAUCAAAUAUUUAUAUAGACAAAUAAUUGAUAUAUUUAGUUGACUUUUGGUCACAAAAUACAUAGGAAGCAUUCAUUAAACUCACUAACAAUUUUUCUAACCCUGGAAAAUUAUUUGCACUUUCUGUAGUUGCCUACGUGAUUAUUUAAAUACUUGUUGGCAGAAUCCUAAAGGUAUCUCAUACCUGUAUCAGUACAAUUUUCACUGCUCACAUGUUUUGAGCAGCUAAUUUGCAAAUCUUUUUCACUGUUGGCUAAACUGGUGCUAGGCUAAGAUUAUAACAUUGCUGGUAGAAAAUUUUACUUUCAUAAUCAGAGUCAUGAAUGUGAGGACUCAGGAUUGCAUGCAAGACUUGAAUGUGGUGCUAUUCUGGAAGAACUAGUUAGACUGUUGUUAAUUGCUUAAACAUCUGAAUCACAGCCUCAUCCUAGAGUGCAUUACUGUCUUGAUCUAAGUGAUAAGGGACUAUAGUAUUUGAAUUCCUGGAAAUAUAAUACUGAAAUAUAAUUCAGAUGAGAGAAAAUUCAUAAGUGGCUCUUCAUUGUACUUAAUCUGUCUGUUCUCCAUGUAGUUUCUCCUUUCUUUGAUUGUAAUAAUUACCUUGAUAGCUCUUAAUUUUUGACUGCAGAUCAGUUCCAUUGAAACAUUACUAUUCUUGAUGAAAGGCCCCAUAGACCUUGCAUUUCAUCUGUAAAUAUUUUAGUAUUUUUUAAAAUUAUUUUAAUCAGCACCUACUCUCUAAAUUUUAUGAUAAAAUCCCUCUUAAUAUAAACUUCCCUUUGGAUUUUUAAAUUUUCCUUUAUUUUGCACUUUGAAAAACAAUAAGUCAUGUAAGAAUUCAAGCACAAUAUUAACACUUAGGUGCCAGAAAAUAGCUCUCACAAACAGGUUUCUGGAAAAUAGAUUGCAAGUUCUUUGAUGGUUCAGUCAAGAUUUAGAGAAGCUAAACUGGAUUGAGAUUUUGCAUUCAGUUUGUAUGCUUGGGAUGGGUUACAAGAAGAGCAGGGAAUUUAACUUUCCCAGGAAUGUGGAAAAAAUGGUAGCUGUGCAUAGUGCAUAGCUUUGGGAAUAAAUACAUUGAUGUAUCUCUUAAAGGGGGAUAAAAGAUAAAGGCUUAUUAUUGGAAUCCGAAAAUGAUUAAACAAUGAAUGCACAUUGGCUACGGGAGGAUUAGAGUGACCAUUUCUUGCAUUCUAGAAAAGAAAGCUAUUGUGCAGAGAGGAACUGACUUCAUUCUAGGAACAUGGGAAAUGAAUGAUGGAGGCUUUGAAUCUGAGCACUUCCUAGCUGGUUUUAGAUGGAAUUUCCAAGUUUUCUAAGUCACAGCACAACAAAAAUUCCAUAAAGUGUAGUAUUUCUUAAGGACUGGAUAGUUCAAUCCUUUUCCAUGCAGGUGAAGACAGAUGAUAUUACAGAGCUAUCAGAAUGGAAUACUUGUGUGGGAAAAACCACUGGCACAAGCACAUAGACUCACAAACCGUCUUUUUUUAGAGAUAGUAUUCUAAUUAUGCAUGAUUAAAAUGUAUAGUGUUAUAGCUAUUAUCAGUAAAUUGAUAUAUGCAUUUAUACAUUAUGAAGCAAUAGGAACCAAUAUACCAAUAGCUUGAAUUUACUGCUUUGAUUCUCAGUUUUUUUUAGACAACAUGCUGCCUCUUUAGUAAAGGGGCAAAAUGUACAAAGAAGGGACGAAGCAUGACGCCAAAACUGUGUAUUAGAAAAAGGAAUCAGUAGAAUAAACCCUCUUGGCCUCUUACCAAGUUCAUAGCAGCUCAUGAGCCUACAUAAUAUGAACAUGGUUAAUGGCAAGUUGGGUUUCUUGGUUGCUGCAGUUGUACAAACAAAAAAGGUGCAGAGUUUCAGAGCGCAGAAAAGGGAAUACCUAAAUUCCAAAUGGGGCAAUAAAAAUGAUCUAAGCAGUUUAGGGUUUGUGGUUAUUUUUAAGUAGAGAUAGUAAAUAUAUCCAGAGCCUGUUGUGGCUAAAAAACAAUGAGUAAUUAAAAUGAGUAAGCUGUCCAUAUUUUUCAGGUAUUAAUUCUUUCUAGGACAGGUGUAGCUUUUCAGGUUUUUUCCCACCACUUUGGCAGCUGGAUUAAAAUGAACUGGUUUGAAACCAGCAAUAAUGAUACAUUAUGGAAAUUGGAAAUAGUUAACUAUUAUUCAUUCAAGCUAUAUUUAAAUAGGGGGUAGCUGUAUUGACCUGCUAGACUGAGGAUUGAUAAGAAUACUCAAUUUUGAAAAAAGGUGUAGAACAUGUAGAUAAUAGAAAUAUUAUAGCAGCAUAUCUGUUGCAGCAAAGUCUGUGUUGGCACACACUUUUCCUAUUAAGAUGUGCUAAAAAUAAAUCUCGAGUUUGAAUCUUUAAUUAUACUAGUUUGCAAAAAGGCAGUUUUAGCUUAUCUGAAACUAGUGUAUCUCAAAGUUUGACCUGUUGUCUAGGUAUAAACAUUUGUUAAGGUAUAUUUAUGCAUUUUUUGUUUUUUGUAACUUUCCCAGUUAUACAUAUUUCCAACCAUAUUUUUCUGAACAUUCUUUGCCGGUAAUGAGUAACUUCAUAUUACUAGAUCGACUGAAGCUGUGAUUGAAGUCUUGCAAACAAUUUUAACAACUGAAAUAAACAGUUUCUCAUUUCUAACUUUUUUCCUCCAAAAUUGACUUUUCUUACAGAUUGUUUGCAUGUAUUUCAGCUAAAGAGUAGGAUUUAAGACUGGGCUACUAAAUGGAUAUACUUUUUUCAAAAUAAAAUGUUAUUCUAGUGUUUGAAAACUGGGAAGAAUGGGUAGCAAAAGUUCAGUCUAGAAGAUAACCUACAAAGGUUAUCUCUUUUACUAAGAGAUAAAUUCAUCUGGAUAAGAAAAGACAAGAAAGAGGCUACAUAUAAUCUACUCCCUUAUAUUCAUUAAGUAUCAAUAUGAACAAUUUGUCUAUGUAUAUAUCUAAUAUUUUCCAGAUGGCAGCUUGCUUUUAUAUCUAUGCAUAUUUGGGGAAGGGAAAGAAUGUGUUAAAUGUAUUCUUUUGACACUGUAAACAAUAAUUGUUGAAAAAUGAGCUUUGAAACUCUGCACUUGUAUAUAAUUUUUUAGCAAUAAAGCAGCAUGAGCUGAGAAUGCA